AUGAACCGCUGGCGGCGUGCCUAAUACAUGCAAGUCGAACGAGGUGCUUUUGUAGCAAUACGAGAGUAUCCUAGUGGCGAACGGGUGAGUAACGCGUUGGUGACCUGCCUAAAGUGCGGGAUAACAGUCCGAAAGGAUUGCUAAUACCGCAUGUGGUCAUUGGAUUUUAGAAACCGAUGAUUAAAGGAGUAAUCCGCUUUAGGAGGGACCUGCGUCCCAUCAGCUAGUUGGUGAGGUAAUGGCCCACCAAGGCGACGACGGGUAGGGGACCUGAGAGGGUGGCCCCCCACCAAUGAACUGAAACACGGUCCAUACACCUACGGGUGGCAGCAGUAGGGAAUAUUGGGCAAUGGUGCGAAAGCCUGACCCAGCAACGCCGCGUGUGCGAUGAAGGCCUUCGGGUCGUAAAGCACUUUUCUGGGAGAUGAGAAAGGACAGUAUCCCAGGAAUAAGUCUCGGCUAACUACGUGCCAGCAGCCGCGGUAAAACGUAGGAGGCAAGCGUUAUCCGGAUUCACUGGGCGUAAAGCGCAUGCAGGCGUGGCGGUAAGUUGGGCGUGAAAUCUCCCGGCUCAACUGGGAGAGGGUCGUCCAAUACUACCGUACUUGAGAGCAGAAGAGGAAGAUGGAAUUCCCGGUGUAGUGGUGAAAUGCGUAGAUAUCGGGAGGAACACCAGUGGCGAAGGCGAUCUUCUGGUCUGUUUCUGACGCUCAUAUGCGACAGCUAGGGUAGUAAACGGGAUUAGAGACCCCGGUAAUCCUAGCCGUAAAACGAUGUGAACUUGGCGUUGGUGGGUUAAACUCCAUCAGUGCCGCAAGCAAACGCGAUAAGUUCACCGCCUGGGGACUACGGCCGCAAGGUUAAACUCAAAGGAAUUGACGGGGGCCCGCACAAGCAGCGGAGCGUGUGGUUUAAUUCGAUGCUACACGAAGAACCUUACCCAGGCUUGACAUACAGGUGGUAGGGAUCCGAAAGGUGACCCGGACCCGCAAGGGAGCCUGAAACAGGUGUUGCAUGGCUGUCGUCAGCUCGUUCGUGAGAUGUUCGGUUAAGUCCGCUAACGAGCGCAACCCUCGCUGCGUGUUACAAGUGUCACGCAGGACCGCCGGUAUUAAGCCGGAGGAAGGUGGGGAUGACGUCAAGUCAGCAUGGCCUUUAUGUCUGGGGCUACACACACGCUACAAUGGCCAGUACAAUGGGUUGCUAAGCCGCGAGGUGGAAGCCAGUCCCCCAAAACUGGCCUCAGUUCAGAUUGCAGGCUGCAACUCGCCUGCAUGAAGCCGGAGUUGCUAGUAAACGCGCGUCAGCUAUAGUGCGUUGAAUACGUUCUCGGGCCUUGUACACACCGCCCGUCACGUCAUGGGAGCUGGUAACACCUGAAGCCGGUAGCCUAACCGCAAGGAGGGCGCCGUCGAAGGUGGGGCUGGUGACUGGAACG
rnacentral:rRNA from 1 species